UGCAUUAUAGACAGUUGCUGCGAUAAAAGCUUUUGUAUUUUUAAUAAGAAAGCCUACAUUUGGAAAAAAAUAGAAUUCGCAGUCACAAAAGGCAUGUGUAAAACACAAAAAAAAACGAAAAGGAUCGAUUGAAUUAUGUUUAAACAGAUGCUGGUCUUGGUCUCGAACUUAAAUCUGAGAGAAAAUGAAAAGAAAAAUUCUCUUAAAACGUAUUGGAAGAAAUUCCUCAAAGUGGUAAACGUUUUAAUAAAUCAAUAAUUGAGGUUGAGGUAGAUUGCGGCCUUGGGAUGACAAUGACCCUACUGUUAAAAAAACACAACUAUUUAUUUUUGAAACAGUAUCUCCACAGGUUAUGCAGCAGCCAUUCUAAUCACCACCGUGACAGUCGGAUUGACCCUCAGGCACAUGUUGGUAUUAAGGCUCGAUAUGCUACAAUUGGAGUUUGCCUGAAUCGAAAAGAACACAGCACCCUGGUUCUAUUCCGUUGGUUGGAACCGAAUUAGUAACCGUUAAAAUGAUUUCUUAUCUUGAGCCGCCUGAGGGAAAAGGGCAAUCGAUGACUAAAUUGUAUUGUAUGCGCCCCGGACAAAGAGAUGAGCUGGCACAGAGCCAUCAAUUGCCAUUUACAUACCUAAGCGAACCCAGUGUACACACAUACGACGAAAAUCCAAUUGAAGACAAAGUGAAUUUGAAAUUUGAUUUGUUUACUUUGCGUAUUUCUUGGGAAAUAUGACUCACAUCCCCCACGACAUUACUUCAAAUAGAAAGAAAACAUUAACGAAUCACACUAACUGCCCAUUGAACAAUCGAUGCAAGCAAAAACUCGUUUAUGACAACUCCCAAAAACUCAUAAUGCCUCCAACACAAUUGAUUUUUUUUCUGGGUUUCAUGUUUUUACUUCGUUUUACUCACCAGCUAAUUGAUCUUCCGAAUAAUUGGCCUAAAAUAAAUAUAUAAAUUGUAAAUUAAUACUUUA